rnacentral:rRNA from 1 species
UACGUAGGGUGCAAGCGUUGUCCGGAGUUAUUGGGCGUAAAGGGUGCGUAGGCGGCGCGGUAAGUCGGGUGUGAAAUCUCGGAGCUUAACUCCGAAACUGCAUUCGAUACUGCCGUGCUUGAGGACUGGAGAGGAGACUGGAAUUUACGGUGUAGCGGUGAAAUGCGUAGAUAUCGUAAGGAAGACCAGUGGCGAAGGCGGGUCUCUGGACAGUUCCUGACGCUGAGGCACGAAGGUCAGGGGAGCAAACGGG